rnacentral:rRNA from 1 species
UAAGUUAGAAAGGGCGCACGGUGGAUGCCUUGACACUAGGAGUCGAUGAAGGACGGGACUAACGCCGAUAUGCUUCGGGGAGCUGUAAGUAAGCUUUGAUCCGAAGAUUUCCGAAUGGGGAAACCCACCAUACGUAAUGGUAUGGUAUCCUUAUCUGAAUACAUAGGAUAAGGAAGACAGACCCAGGGAACUGAAACAUCUAAGUACCUGGAGGAAGAGAAAGCAAAUGCGAUUUCCUGAGUAGCGGCGAGCGAAACGGAACAUAGCCCAAACCAAGAGGCUUGCCUCUUGGGGUUGUAGGACAUUCUAUACGGAGUUACAAAGGAACGAGGUAGACGAAGCGACCUGGAAAGGUCCGUCGUAGAGGGUAACAACCCCGUAGUCGAAACUUCGUUCUCUCUUGAAUGUAUCCUGAGUACGGCGGAACACGUGAAAUUCCGUCGGAAUCUGGGAGGACCAUCUCCCAAGGCUAAAUACUCCCUAGUGAUCGAUAGUGAACCAGUACCGUGAGGGAAAGGUGAAAAGCACCCCGGAAGGGGAGUGAAAGAGAUCCUGAAACCGUGUGCCUACAAAUAGUCAGAGCCCGUUAAUGGGUGAUGGUGUGCCUUUUGUAGAAUGAACCGGCGAGUUACGAUCCCGUGCGAGGUUAAGCUGAAGAGGCGGAGCCGCAGCGAAAGCGAGUCUGAAUAGGGCGUUUAGUACGUGGUCGUAGACCCGAAACCAGGUGAUCUACCCAUGUCCAGGGUGAAGUUCAGGUAACACUGAAUGGAGGCCCGAACCCACGCACGUUGAAAAGUGCGGGGAUGAGGUGUGGGUAGCGGAGAAAUUCCAAUCGAACCUGGAGAUAGCUGGUUCUCCCCGAAAUAGCUUUAGGGCUAGCCUUAAGUGUAAGAGUCUUGGAGGUAGAGCACUGAUUGGACUAGGGGUCCUCAUCGGAUUACCGAAUUCAGUCAAACUCCGAAUGCCAAUGACUUAUCCUUAGGAGUCAGACUGCGAGUGAUAAGAUCCGUAGUCAAAAGGGAAACAGCCCAGACCGCCAGCUAAGGUCCCAAAGUGUGUAUUAAGUGGAAAAGGAUGUGGAGUUGCUUAGACAACUAGGAUGUUGGCUUAGAAGCAGCCACCAUUUAAAGAGUGCGUAAUAGCUCACUAGUCGAGUGACUCUGCGCCGAAAAUGUACCGGGGCUAAAUACACCACCGAAGCUGCGGAUUGAUACCAAUGGUAUCAGUGGUAGGGGAGCGUUCUAAGGACAGUGAAGUCAGACCGGAAGGACUGGUGGAGUGCUUAGAAGUGAGAAUGCCGGUAUGAGUAGCGAAAGACGGGUGAGAAUCCCGUCCACCGAAUGCCUAAGGUUUCCUGAGGAAGGCUCGUCCGCUCAGGGUUAGUCAGGACCUAAGCCGAGGCCGACAGGCGUAGGCGAUGGACAACAGGUUGAUAUUCCUGUACCACCUCUUUAUCGUUUGAGCAAUGGAGGGACGCAGAAGGAUAGAAGAAGCGUGCGAUUGGUUGUGCACGUCCAAGCAGUUAGGCUGAUAAGUAGGCAAAUCCGCUUAUCGUGAAGGCUGAGCUGUGAUGGGGAAGCUCCUUAUGGAGCGAAGUCUUUGAUUCCCCGCUGCCAAGAAAAGCUUCUAGCGAGAUAAAAGGUGCCUGUACCGCAAACCGACACAGGUAGGCGAGGAGAGAAUCCUAAGGUGUGCGAGAGAACUCUGGUUAAGGAACUCGGCAAAAUGACCCCGUAACUUCGGGAGAAGGGGUGCUUUCUUAACGGAAAGCCGCAGUGAAUAGGCCCAAGCGACUGUUUAGCAAAAACACAGCUCUCUGCGAAGCCGUAAGGCGAAGUAUAGGGGGUGACACCUGCCCGGUGCUGGAAGGUUAAGGAGAGGGGUUAGCGUAAGCGAAGCUCUGAACUGAAGCCCCAGUAAACGGCGGCCGUAACUAUAACGGUCCUAAGGUAGCGAAAUUCCUUGUCGGGUAAGUUCCGACCCGCACGAAAGGUGUAACGAUUUGGGCACUGUCUCAACCAGAGACUCGGUGAAAUUAUAGUACCUGUGAAGAUGCAGGUUACCCGCGACAGGACGGAAAGACCCCGUGGAGCUUUACUGUAGCCUGAUAUUGAAUUUUGGUACAGUUUGUACAGGAUAGGCGGGAGCCUUUGAAACCGGAGCGCUAGCUUCGGUGGAGGCGCUGGUGGGAUACCGCCCUGACUGUAUUGAAAUUCUAACCUACGGGUCUUAUCGACCCGGGAGACAGUGUCAGGUGGGCAGUUUGACUGGGGCGGUCGCCUCCUAAAGUGUAACGGAGGCGCCCAAAGGUUCCCUCAGAAUGGUUGGAAAUCAUUCGUAGAGUGCAAAGGCAUAAGGGAGCUUGACUGCGAGACCUACAAGUCGAGCAGGGACGAAAGUCGGGCUUAGUGAUCCGGUGGUUCCGCAUGGAAGGGCCAUCGCUCAACGGAUAAAAGCUACCCCGGGGAUAACAGGCUUAUCUCCCCCAAGAGUCCACAUCGACGGGGAGGUUUGGCACCUCGAUGUCGGCUCAUCGCAUCCUGGGGCUGUAGUCGGUCCCAAGGGUUGGGCUGUUCGCCCAUUAAAGCGGUACGCGAGCUGGGUUCAGAACGUCGUGAGACAGUUCGGUCCCUAUCCGUCGUGGGCGUAGGAAAUUUGAGAGGAGCUGUCCUUAGUACGAGAGGACCGGGAUGGACGCACCGCUGGUGUACCAGUUGUUCUGCCAAGGGCAUAGCUGGGUAGCUAUGUGCGGAAGGGAUAAGUGCUGAAAGCAUCUAAGCAUGAAGCCCCCCUCAAGAUGAGAUUUCCCAUAGCGUAAGCUAGUAAGAUCCCUGAAAGAUGAUCAGGUUGAUAGGUUCGAGGUGGAAGCAUGGUGACAUGUGGAGCUGACGAAUACUAAUAGAUCGAGGACUUAACCA